rnacentral:rRNA from 1 species
UACGUAGGGUGCGAGCGUUGUCCGGAAUUAUUGGGCGUAAAGAGCUCGUAGGCGGCCUGUUGCGUCGGUUGUGAAAGCCCGGGGCUUAACCCCGGGUCUGCAGUCGAUACGGGCAGGCUAGAGUUCGGUAGGGGAGAUCGGAAUUCCUGGUGUAGCGGUGAAAUGCGCAGAUAUUAGGAAGAACACCAGUGGCGAAGGCGGCUCACUGGCCCGGUACUGACGCUGAGGCGCGAAAGCGUGGGGAGCAAACAGG